rnacentral:rRNA from 1 species
AUGACGGUGCGGCCCUCGCCGAGGAUGAAAGGCAGGGUACAAACUGAUGACAUUGGACUUGGGUCGCUGCUUGGAGGCAUGCCACCAGAGCGUGGCGCCGGAGAAGUCGUCGGUGACCCCCUCGUGGUCGUCGAUGGAGACCUGGAUGUUCUUGCUGUCCUUGCCGAGCUCGGCUUUGAGCCUGCGCGCGCGACGGGCACAUGCGUCGCUCAGGUAGGCCUCGACGGCAAGGAAGAGCUCGCUUCGCUUCCAGCGCUGGGCGCCGUUCUCCGAGAUGGUGAUGUUGAGCCUAAGCACGCAUCGCCGCUGCGGUCGCCAUCGGAGCAGGUUAGGAGGAGUUAUCGCCUUAUCGGAGCUGAGAAGAAGCAGGCGAGCAUCGACAUCGAUCGACCAGUCCACGGAAGUGGAAUUGCUUAA